UGGGGAAUUUUGGACAAUGGGGGAAACCCUGAUCCAGCCAUCCCGCGUGUGCGAUGAAGGCCUUCGGGUUGUAAAGCACUUUUGGCAGGAAAGAAACGUCGCGGGUUAAUACCCCGCGAAACUGACGGUACCUGCAGAAUAAGCACCGGCUAACUACGUGCCAGCAGCCGCGGUAAUACGUAGGGUGCAAGCGUUAAUCGGAAUUACUGGGCGUAAAGCGUGCGCAGGCGGUUCGGAAAGAAAGAUGUGAAAUCCCAGAGCUUAACUUUGGAACUGCAUUUUUAACUACCGGGCUAGAGUGUGUCAGAGGGAGGUGGAAUUCCGCGUGUAGCAGUGAAAUGCGUAGAUAUGCGGAGGAACACCGAUGGCGAAGGCAGCCUCCUGGGAUAACACUGACGCUCAUGCACGAAAGCGUGGGGAGCAAACAGGAUUAGAUACCCUGGUAGUCCACGCCCCAAACGAUGUCAACUAGCUGUUGGGGGCCUUCGGGGCCUUGGUAGCGCAGCUAACGCGUGAAGUUGACCGCCUGGGGAGUACGGUCGCAAGAUUAAAACUCAAA
rnacentral:rRNA from 1 species